rnacentral:misc_RNA from 1 species
UAAGAAUAACAUUACCUGCCCACCGUCGUUCCUUGGACAUUGUUUCCCAAAUAGAACUGCUUCCAACAUCAUAUCAUGUCUCCAUCACAACCCUAUGCAUGAAUCCGUCCCACACAACUAGGGAUGAAACUUUUCUGCUCGUUAGCUCAGGUAAUCAAAAUUAAGAUCAAUAAACCAGGAAGAGAACCUUAAUUUUCCAGAUUGUACAAUUUGCAACCAUCAAAGACACCAAUGAAGGGAUAAAAAAAAAAA